rnacentral:rRNA from 1 species
CAGCAGCCACGGUAAUACGUAGGGUGCGAGCGUUAAUCGGAAUUACUGGGCGUAAAGCGUGCGCAGGCGGUUGUGUAAGACAGGUGUGAAAUCCCCGGGCUUAACCUGGGAACUGCGCUUGUGACUGCACAGCUAGAGUAUGGCAGAGGGGGGUGGAAUUCCACGUGUAGCAGUGAAAUGCGUAGAGAUGUGGAGGAACACCGAUGGCGAAGGCAGCCCCCUGGGUCAAUACUGACGCUCAUGCACGAAAGCGUGGGGAGCAAACAGGAUUAGAUACCCCCGUAGUCCCUGUCUCUUAUAC